rnacentral:rRNA from 1 species
UACGAAGGGGGGCUAGCGUUGCUCGGAAUCACUGGGCGUAAAGCGCACGUAGGCGGCUUUUUAAGUCAGAGGUGAAAUCCUGGAGCUCAACUCCAGAACUGCCUUUGAUACUGAGAGGCUUGAGUCCGGGAGAGGUGAGUGGAACUGCGAGUGUAGAGGUGAAAUUCGUAGAUAUUCGCAAGAACACCAGUGGCGAAGGCGGCUCACUGGCCCGGUACUGACGCUGAGGUGCGAAAGCGUGGGGAGCAAACAGGG